GAAAGGCAAGUGGAAAACGCCUCUUCGAGUGAGAUGUUGGCCAAUCCAGAGAUCCAGUCCACCUAAGGCUCCACCCCCUGCUGAGGACAGACCAAUCUCUUUGAGGCUUGUGAGGGACGAUGUGCGUUUGAAUGUUGAACGUAAGGAACCUAGUAAAAACAUAAAGAGCCUUGGAAGAGGGCCUGUGCCAAGGGACCCACCAAGAGGGGCUUCCAUCCCCACAGCCAACACCCAACAGAUGAGGGAGGUCAGAAGAAAAGAGUUCCUAAUCCUAUAACAAAGGCUGAAUCAGGAGGACUAUGUUGCUGGAAUUUCAUAAAGAAGGCAUGUAAGAAGGGAGGUAUUACCUGAUGUUCGGCACAUUACACGUUCAAAACUAAACAAAAAACACCAGCUGCAUACCCAGGCUGUACCUUGUUGAAAUGUACAGUGUAUUAAU